UACAGAGGUCUCAAGCGUUGUUCGGAUUCAUUGGGCGUAAAGGGUGCGUAGGUGGCGCCGUAAGUCAGGUGUGAAAUUUCGGAGCUUAACUCCGAACUGCAUUUGAUACUGCGGUGCUUGAGGACUGGAGAGGAGACUGGAAUUUACGGUGUAGCAGUGAAAUGCGUAGAGAUCGUAAGGAAGACCAGUGGCGAAGGCGGGUCUCUGGACAGUUCCUGACACUGAGGCACGAAGGCCAGGGAGCAAACGGG
rnacentral:rRNA from 1 species